GAAGUCCCUGGCGGCCUCCCAAACCCAACCCACUAAGCCAUCACCCCAAACCCUGCACCUGCCCUGCCUCCUCCGCUGAUCUGCCCCCACUCAGUCCCGGCCGUGCUGGGACGAGUGGGCUCAAGCUGCCCACAGGAAGGCCUGGCUGCCCACAGGGGCCCCUCUGCAGCAGCCCCCCUGCAGCCCUCCACGCACCUCCCUCGGGGCCAUGGGUGCACCCCCCCCACCAGGAGACCGAGCAGGGGGAGAGACCAGCCCCAGUGCUGUAUGAGCCCUUCUGGCUCCCUGCUCUGCUCAGGCUCCUUCGGCCAAAUCCAUGUGUUUGCUGGUACGUGGUGCCCACGGACUCAGAGAGCAAAUACGACAGUCCGAAGCGCACUGCAAAGCUGAAGGAUCUGGGGGCAGUUCUCAUGGUUUGGUCAAAGGCGAUCUGGACUCUCACGACCAAGCUUUAUGCUCUUCGUGGAAUCGCAACCUGACGAGGCCCCUCAGAUUCUCACACGUGGACACUUGAAGGGCCAGGUCGCAUCUUCUCCAGGUCUCAGACAUCGGCGAUUUGAAAUGGAGUCACUCAGCCCUUUGCAUCGACGAGGUGACAGAAGGGACAAAGGUAAGAUCUGCGAAUUUAUGAAGCUUCUUGGCUCAGGGGCUUGGGCAGGUGGACAGGCCAGCGGCUGGGAGGGAGGGGGGCGUGGGGUGGGGGUCCUGCUGGGCCCCGCCCCCGCCCAGCUCAGGCCCCGCCCUCCAAGUGCUCUCAGAAGACCUGGCGGCACAGCUGUUCCUCUCCCGUCUGCGUUUAUCGUUUCCUCUCACUUAAAUCAUAGCUCUUGAGUCCUACUACGUGCUAAGGGCACACACACUGGGACACCCGGUGCUCUGGAGCUUUGCCGACAUCUCCGAC
rnacentral:lncRNA from 1 species